UUGAUCAGGAUUAAAUUUUAAAAAUAUUGCAGCUUUUAACGAGGCUAAUUAUAAAUUAGAAGACAAUAACAACAGAUGGUUUGUGGAGUUUUGCACAGCAUUAGUUCUUUUUUUUUUCUCAGCAUAUGUUCUUCAUCUAUACAUUUGCUAUCCUGCCUAGGUGCCUUGUGAUGAGCCAAACAAGACUUUGUGUCGUUUCUCAACAGUUCCACAGAUUGCAGACACGUGUUGUUGAUCUCUGCAGCUCCUCCAGAGUCACUGCAGGCCUCUUAGCUGUUUCCCUGAACGCUGCUCUGCUGCUACUCUGGGAUCUAUCUGUUGUCUUCUUAGGUCUUUAUAGGGCUGUUUGUGAAGCGUAAGUAUGGUAAACCUACUUUCUAUUAUAUUCUUGGGUGGAGGAGGAAAUUAGUCCCUCAGGUUUUCCGACCGCCAACAGGAAGAUAACGUCCGGGAGAGGAAGCGCCUGACGUCUUAUUUUGACAGAUGAAUUGCCGCCAUUGUAUCAGCGGCAACAGUAAUUGCAUUGCUGUUGGCAGUCGGUCAUGUCCGUCUUGGCACAACCCCCUGGGUCUUUCACUUCCCAUUCCCACACGAUGACAUCUGCUCGUCAUAAGAACAUUCACGUUCGCCUGGAGGACUUUGCAACCAAACAGAAAGAAACCUGCUGCACCUCCCUCCAACCCGUCUUUAGGCAACUUUGGAGCGCCAAACCGUGAAACGAAAACACUGGUCACUGCUCAGUAUGAAGAAGUUGGUGAGGAAGUGAGAAUGUCAGACUCGUCAUUGCAGUGAUGAUGGCUGCCGUGACUCUCCACCCUGACCUUUAACCCCUGGCUCUCAGCUGUACUGAUCUGUCCACCGCUGUAUGUAUUAUUAAUGACUGCCAAAUUCCACACAUGAAAGGCCGGCUUUGUGGGCCGGGAUGAAAGACCCUGUGUCCACUCCCUUGCUGUCCCGCUGGUCGCCUGUUUUCUGCUCUCGGCCCUCCAUUAGGUUUCUCUCUUGCGCUGCGUUUGCUGCUUCAGCUAGGAGUCUAGACUUUAACAUCCCUGUCAGCUUAUCACGAUGACAUCAUGUCUUUGUUUGCGCUCACUCCUCCUGAGCAACACUGUUGUCUCAUGCCGCAAUACGUGAAUUAAAACCUUACAUUUAUUUG